rnacentral:rRNA from 1 species
AUUGAACGCUGGCGGCAGGCCUAACACAUGCAAGUCGAACGGUAACAGGAAGCAGCUUGCUGCUUUGCUGACGAGUGGCGGACGGGUGAGUAAUGUCUGGGAAACUGCCUGAUGGAGGGGGAUAACUACUGGAAACGGUAGCUAAUACCGCAUAACGUCGCAAGCCCAAAGAGGGGGACCUUAGGGCCUCUUGCCAUCGGAUGUGCCCAGAUGGGAUUAGCUAGUAGGUGGGGUAACGGCUCACCUAGGCGACGAUCCCUAGCUGGUCUGAGAGGAUGACCAGCCACACUGGAACUGAGACACGGUCCGGACUCCUACGGGAGGCAGCAGUGGGGAAUAUUGCACAAUGGGCGCAAGCCUGAUGCAGCCAUGCCGCGUGUAUGAAGAAGGCCUUCGGGUUGUAAAGUACUUUCAGCGGGGAGGAAGGGAGUAAAGUUAAUACCUUUGCUCAUUGACGUUACCCGCAGAAGAAGCACCGGCUAACUCCGUG